GGGAUUACCUCAGUAACGGCGAGUGAAGCGGUAACAGCUCAAAUUUGAAAUCUGCCGCAAGGCCGAGUUGUAAUUUGUAGAAGAUGCUUUGGGUAUGGCCCCGGUCUAAGUUCGUUGGAACACGACGUCAUAGAGGGUGAGAAUCCCGUAUGUGACUGGGUGCUUUUGCCUAUGUAAAGCUCUUUCGACGAGUCGAGUUGUUUGGGAAUGCAGCUCAAAAUGGGUGGUAUAUUUCAUCUAAAGCUAAAUAUUGGCCAGAGACCGAUAGCGCACAAGUAGAGUGAUCGAAAGAUGAAAAGCACUUUGGAAAGAGAGUUAAACAGUACGUGAAAUUGUUGAAAGGGAAGCGCUUGCAACCAGACUUGCACGCUGUUGAUCAUCCAGGCUUCUGUUUGGUGCACUCAACUGCGUUCAGGCCAGCAUCGGUUUUGGUGGUGGGAUAAAGGCCUUGGGAAUGUAGCUUCUUUCGGGGAGUGUUAUAGCCCUCGGUGCAAUGCCGCCUACCGGGACCGAGGACCGCGCUUCGGCUAGGAUGCUGGCGUAAUGGUUGUAAGCGACCCGUCUUGAAACACGGACCAAGGAGUCUAACAUCUAUGCGAGUGUUUGGGUGUCAAACCCAUACGCGUAAUUAACGUGAACGGAGGUGAGAACCCUUAAGGGUGCAUCAUCGACCGAUCCUGAUGUCUUCGGAUGGAUUUGAGUAAGAGCAUAGCUGUUGGGACCCGAAAGAUGGUGAACUAUGCCUGAAUAGGGUGAAGCCAGAGGAAACUCUGGUGGAGGCUCGCAGCGGUUCUGACGUGCAAAUCGAUCGUCAAAUUUGGGUAUAGGGGCGAAAGACUAAUCGAACCAUCUA
rnacentral:rRNA from 1 species